rnacentral:rRNA from 1 species
CCGCAAGGCCUUGCGCUCUUUGAGCGGCCGAUGUCAGAUUAGCUAGUUGGUGAGGUAACGGCUUACCAAGGCGACGAUCUGUAGCGGGUCUGAGAGGAUGAUCCGCCACACUGGAACUGAGACACGGUCCAGACUCCUACGGGAGGCAGCAGUGGGAAUUUUGGACAAUGGGCGCAAGCCUGAUCCAGCCAUGCCGCGUGAGUGAAGAAGGCCUUCGGGUUGUAAAGCUCUUUCGGCCGGAAGAAAUCGCAUGGGUUAAUACCCUGUGUGGAUGACGGUACCGGAAUAAGAAGCACCGGCUAACUACGUG